UACGUAGGUGGCAAGCGUUGUCCGGAUUUACUGGGCGUAAAGAGCGCGCAGGCGGUCGUGCAAGUCGCGUGUGAAAGCCCCCGGCUCAACUGGGGAGGGUCACGCGAUACUGUUCGACUCGAAGGCAGGAGAGGGAAGCGGAAUUCCCGGUGUAGUGGUGAAAUGCGUAGAUAUCGGGAGGAACACCUGUGGCGAAGGCGGCCGACUGGGCCGACCCUGACGCUGAGGCGCGAAAGCGUGGGGAGCGAACAGG
rnacentral:rRNA from 1 species